GACGAACGCUGGCGGCGUGCCUAAUACAUGCAAGUUGAGCGCUGAAGGUUGGUACUUGUACCCACUGGAUGAGCAGCGAACGGGUGAGUAACGCGUGGUGAAUCUGCCUUUGAGCGGGGGACAACAUUUGGAAACGAAUGCUAAUACCGCAUAAAAACUUUAAACACAAGUUUUAAGUUUUAAAGAUGCAAUUGCAUCACUCAAAGAUGAUCCCGCGUUGUAUUAGCUAGUUGGUGAGGUAAAGGCUCACCAAGGCGAUGAUACAUAGCCGACCUGAGAGGGGGAGAGGCAACAGUGGGACGGAGACACGGCCCAAACUACUACGGGAGGCAGAAGUAGGGAAUCUUCGGCAAGGGAAGAAAGGCGGAACGAGCAACGCCGCGUGAGUGAAGAAGGUUUUCGGAUCGUAAAACUCUGUUGGUAGAGAAGAACGUAGGUGAGAGUGGAAAGCUAAGCAAGUGACGGUAACUACCCAGAAAGGGACGGCUAACUACGUG
rnacentral:rRNA from 1 species